CUCCGGUUCCCGCCGCUAGUUCCACUUCGCCCGGCGGGAAUCGGCGCUGGGUCCUUCGGGAGAGGCGUCUGGGUCCCGCUCGGGGCAGGGGCUGUGACGUGGCAGUGCCUCCUUGGUUGGAUGUUCUCGAAACCAUAAAUGUUAAGGAAGUUUUAAUGGGUGAUCUUGUGAGUAGCUGCUAGAACCAGCUGGUGGCCAGAAGGUUGCCUUACAUAAUU